rnacentral:rRNA from 1 species
UACGGAGGGUGCGAGCGUUAAUCGGAAUUACUGGGCGUAAAGCGUGCGUAGGUGGUUGAAUAAGUUAUCUGUGAAAUCCCUGGGCUUAACCUGGGCAGGUCAGAUGAUACUGUUUAACUCGAGUAUGGGAGAGGGUAGUGGAAUUUCCGGUGUAGCGGUGAAAUGCGUAGAGAUCGGAAGGAACACCAGUGGCGAAGGCGGCUACCUGGCCGUAAUACUGACACUGAGGCACGGAAAGCGUGGGGAGCAAACAGG